rnacentral:Y_RNA from 12 species
GGCUGGUCCGAAGGUAGUGAGUUAUCACAAUUGGUUCUACAGUCAGUUACAGCUCGAACUCCUCCUUGUACUCCUUGUUCUACCCUCCUCACUGCUGCACUUGACUGGUCUUUU